rnacentral:rRNA from 1 species
AGCUCCAAUAGCGUAUAUUAAAGUUGCUGCAGUUAAAAAGCUCGUAGUUGCAUUUCCGAGGCAAGGGAUUAGUCCGACCUUUGGUGGGUAUUUAAUCCUCUUGCCUCGUCCUUGAGUGGUGCUUCUUGGUAUUAAGUUAUCGAGGAGAUAGCCGCUCAUCGUUUACUGUGAGAAAAUUAGAGUGUUCAAAGCAGGCUUAUGCCGUUGAAUAUAUUAGCAUGGAAUAAUAAGAGAGGCCCUCGGUACUAUUUUGUUGGUUUGAGAACCAAGGUAAUGAUGAAUAGGGACAGUUGGGGGUAUUCGUAUUCAGUUGUCAGAGGUGAAAUUCUUAGAUUUACGGAAGACGAACUACUGCGAAAGCAUUUACCAAGGAUGUUUUCA